rnacentral:rRNA from 1 species
CCUACGGGGGGCAGCAGUGGGGAAUAUUGGGCAAUGGGCGCAAGCCUGACCCAGCAACGCCGCGUGAAGGAAGAAGGCUUUCGGGUUGUAAACUUCUUUUCUGAGGGACGAAGAAAGUGACGGUACCUCAGGAAUAAGCCACGGCUAACUACGUGCCAGCAGCCGCGGUAAUACGGAGGAUGCGAGCGUUAUCCGGAUUUAUUGGGUUUAAAGGGUGCGCAGGCGGCCUGUUAAGUCAGCGGUAAAAGCCCGGGGCUCAACCCCGGCGAGCCGUUGAAACUGGCGGGCUGGAGGUGGAGCGAAGG